rnacentral:rRNA from 1 species
CCAAGGAGUGCAACNNNCGUGCGAGUCUGUGGGUUUUUGUACACCCGUCGGCGCAAUGAGAGYAAACGGGACGUCAGUCCCGCCGAGGCAGGAGCCGUUGAAAGUGGUAGCGGCCCACUGUCGACCGAUCCGUUGCCACGCUGUGGUGGGAUUCGAGUGAGAGCGCGCCUGUUGCGACCCGAAAGAUGGUGAACUAUGCCUGAAUAGGCGAAGCCAGAGGAAACUCUGGUGGAAGCUCGUAGCGGUUCUGACGUGCAAAUCGAUCGUCAAAUUUGGGUAUAGGGGCGAAAGACUAAUCGAACCAUCUAGUAGCUGGUUCCCUCCGAAGUUUCCCUCAGGAUAGCUGGAGCCCGAAAGCAGUUUUAUCAGGUAAAGCGAAUGAUUAGAGGUCUUGGGGUUGAAACAACCUCAACCUAUUCUCAAACUUUAAAUGGGUAAGAAGUCCGGCUUGCUCGGUUUYUGAAGUCGGACGUUGGAAUGCUGGGUUCCCAGUGGGCCAUUUUUGGUAAGCAGAACUGGCGAUGCGGGAUGAACCGAACGCCGGGUUAAGGUGCCCGAAUUGACGCUCAUCAGAUACCAUGAAAGGU